GAUAGCAUUUAAGGUCUAACCUGCCCUUGAUAUUAAAAGGCCGCAGUAUUUUGACUGUGCAAAGGUAGCAUAAUCAUUAGUUUUUUAAUUGAAAGCUUGUAUGAAUGGUUGGACGAGAUAUAAACUGUCUUUAAAUUAUUAUAGAAUUUAAUUUUUAAGUUAAAAAGCUUAAAUUUUAUUAAAAGACGAGAAGACCCUAUAAAUCUUUAUAAAUUUUUUAUUAAUUUUUAAGGUUUAAUAAUUUAUAUAAAUUAAUUUAUUUUAUUGGGGUAAUAAAAAGAUUAAAAAAAUUCUUUUUAAUAUACAUUGAUUAUUGUUUUAUGAUCCUUUAUUAUAGAUUAUAAGAUUAAGUUACUUUAGGGAUAACAGCGUAAUUUUUUUGGAGAGUUCUUAUCAAUAAAAAAGUUUGCGACCUCGAUGUUGGAUUAAAAUUAAUUUUAGGUGUAGAAGUUUAAAUUUUUAGUCUGUUCGACUAUUAAAAUUUU
rnacentral:rRNA from 1 species